UUACGGCCAUAUCACGUUAAAUUAUCGGUUCCCGUACGAUCAUCGAAGUUAAGCAACGUCGAGCCUGAUCAAUACCUAGAUGAGUGACUGGUUGGAAAUACCAGGUAUGGUAA